rnacentral:rRNA from 1 species
CCGCCUCACCGCGUGCACUCGUCCGGCCGGGCCUUCCUUCUGAAGAACCUCAUGCCCUUCACUGGGCGUGCUGGGGAAUCAGACUUUNUACUUUGAAAAAAUUAGAGUGUUUCAAAGCAGGCCUUUGCUCGAAUACGUUAGCAUGGAAUAAUAAAAUAGGGCGUGCGUUUCUAUUUUGUUGGUUUCUAGAGACGCCGCAAUGAUUAACAGGAACAGUCGGGGGCAUCAGUAUUCAGUUGUCAGAGGUGAAAUUCUUGGAUUUACUGAAGACUAACUACUGCGAAAGCAUUUGCCAAGGAUGUUUUCAUUAAUCAGUGAACGAAAGUUAGGGGAUCGAAGACGAUCAGAUACCGUCGUAGUCUUAACCGUAAACUAUGCCGACUAGGGAUCGGGCGAUGUUCUUUUUCUGACUCGCUCGGCACCUUACGAGAAAUCAAAGUUUUUGGGUUCUGGGGGGAUUAUGGUCGCAAGGCUGAAACUUAAAGAAAUUGACGGAAGGUCACCACCAGGCGUGGAGCCUGCGGCUUAAUUUGACUCAACACGGGGAAACUCACCAGGUCCAGAUGAAAUAAGGAUUGACAGAUUGAGAGCUCUUUCUUGAUUUUUCAGGUGGUGGUGCAUGGCCGUUCUUAGUUCGUGGGGUGACUUGUCUGCUUAAUUGCGAUAACGAGCGAGACCUUACUCUGCUAAAUAGCCAGGCUAACUUUGGUUGGUCGCCGGCUUCUUAGAGAGACUAUCAACUCAAGUUGAUGGAAGUUUGAGGCAAUAACAGGUCUGUGAUGCCCUUAGAUGUUUGGGCCGCACGCGCGCUACACUGACAGAGCCAACGAGUUCUUUUCCUUGUUAAAAGAAUUGGGUGAAUCUUGUUAAACUCUGUCGUGCUGGGGAUAAAGCAUUGCAAUUAUUGCUUUUCAACGA